CUUUGUCUGCAGCUGAAGAUGGUAUUUAAGAUGAGAACCUCCACCAUUGUGCCUGCUGCCUGGAAUGUGACAUGGUGUGGAGCCAUCUUGGACCAGAUGAAGCAACAGUCUAGGAAUGGAAGAGCUCAAGACAGAAGGAGCCUGGAUCCCCAACACCAAGGAGCCUCUGGAUCAACUCUGGAUUGCUAAUGCUUGGAGGGUUUCGUGAGAAAGAACUUCUAUCUUGUUUAUGUCAUUGUGACUUUGGUCUUUGUCCCAGUAGCUGAGUUUGCAUUCAACCUAACACACUUCCUGUUCCCUCUUCUCUUUUCCAGGCUGCAUUUGGAGACAGCGUAGGCUUAGGUAACUGGUCCCGUGGGAGGAGGGCCCUCUCCCCCAUGCUGUCCUCUAGGGCUUACUGGUCUCUGAUGCCUUGAGACUUGCCUGGACUACUUUCAGGCAUAUGGCCCUAGUGCCUACGAGGCUGGUCCCACUUGGGUGUUCAGGUGCUAAGUUGGGACUUGCUGCUGGCACCCUGCUGCUGCUCCACAGGUUGAUUCUGCACCUUUGUGCUUUAUGAGCCACCAGAAACUCUCAGCUGCUUUCUCCAAACCCUGCUGGGCUGCCAUCCAGCACGCCCGUCUUGACAACUUCCUCAGCCAUUUCUGAACUACCUCCUGAAUGUGGGCCUUUGCCAUGGGGCUGUGAAAAUUCCUGGCCUUUACUGGCCUUGAAAAUCCUUACAUCCUAGGACUUCCCCAUGAGCCUGUCUGAACCCUGGGAGCCCCUCCUUCCACAGCUGAACCUUGGGGUGGAGUGGAGUGGGGGGAGGAUUCGCAAUUUGGCCUCUAACCCGUUUCUCUCUCUCUUACUCUCCGGAGAGAAUUGGACACAUUUCGUCUUCUUGUUGGAUGUCAGUAAAUCCAGAUCAUAUUUUCCUCUUUUGCUACUCUGUGACCUUUUCAUACAUCUCUACGCUCUAUCCCCAUUGAUAAACUUCAAGGUUUCACUCAGUAGUUCUCAACUGGAGGUGAUUUUGUCCCCUGGAGGACAUUUGGCAAUGUCUGGAGCCAUUUUUGAGCGUCACAAUUGGCGGAAGUUCCCUGUGAGAUAAUAAUACCCAACAUUUGAGAAGUAGCAUUGCCUAGGGAUUAAAAGCACGAGAUUCUGGAACUAGACUGCCUGGUCUGGUUUCUGGCUCUGCCACUUUAGAGGUAUGUGACCUUCAGACAAUAACCUUAACCUUCCUGCCAUAACCUCUUUCAGUUGCUCUAUCUGUAGAGCUGGCGUGACAAUAACAGUGCCUAUCUCUCAUAGGGUUGCGACGAGGAUUAAAUGGUCUGCACCCUGGAAUCACCUGGAUGUCUUUAAAGAUUCCAAACCCGGGCCACCUGAAGACCAAUGACCUCAGAACAAUCUCUGGGGUGAGAGGCAUCAGUAUUUCUGAAGCUUCCCUAGGUGGUUCCAAUGUGCGGACAAGUUUGGAAACCAAUGGGUUAAAGCGCUCUGCACGCUGGUUUUGAUCCAUCGGUGGACACUUCCGGAAUCACUGCGUCUCCAGUCACCACGCAAUCUGGUACCCCUCCCAGCUCAUUGCACAGUCUGCUCCCCAGACUCCAGGAGCUAUUGGGCCCAGAAGCCCCGGCCGGUGCACGCUGGGACUUGUAGUCCUUCUGGUGCUACGACCUCGCCCACGCCUCCCAUUGGCUUUCGCAGACGCCCCGCCCCGAAGCUCCACCAAUCACCGCGGCGCAGUGAGCCCUCAAAACCGCGAGCGAGAGCGCUGCGCCGCAAUCACUGCAAGGCCGACGUCGGAGGAGUCCCGUCUGAGGCUGCGCGCCGCGAGGAAUUCCCACGGUCCUGCCGCCGCCGCCUCCGCGGUCUCCCGCCGCAGGUAACCGCGAGCCCCAGCGGGGGAUCCGGGCCGGACCCCACGUCCGGGGCCAGGGCCUCCCGUCCCUGCAGCUCUUGGCCUCGUGGCCGGGACUUUCAGUUCCCCCUGCCCUCUCUGAGUAAUCCGAUUCUCACCGUGCGAAGGAGAGAAUCCCGAGGGAAACCCUGCCACCUCUCAGCCGGCCAUCCUGUGGGCGUGGGUGAGGGCUCUCUUUUGUGGCGCUUGCUCUGACCGGAAGCCCAGGCUCCUCCUCCAAGCGGAGAGAGGGACCGGCCAGAGAGGAGAGGGCGUUUGCUAAGGUCCCAUAGCCGGGCUCUGGGGCGGGUUCCGAUCUUCAGUCUGUUAACCGGUUAGGCUUGAUGCUUUUAAUGCGGAGGAUCGCACUCGUUUCCAGCCAGUUCCCCGUAGACGGGCUGUUAACGACAACAAAAAUACCGAAACAUAUAAAAACAUUUUGAGAAGUGAGUCAAGGAAGCUCUAGUUCUCAGAGGCUGGAGCUGGUGGGAAUUACGGGAUGACUCGCAUCACCCAUGGAAGUGAAAGUUAGCUGGAUUUGGUCCCCUGCCCCUAACUUUUAAGAGUUGGGGUUAUACCUACAGGGGUUCUUCUUUGCCGAGAAUUGCAGAAUCUGGCAGCUGGAAGAAGGAACUUUGUGUCACGUGCUUCGUUUUAUGGAUGAAAAUAAAUGCCCAGGGUUUGAGACUAGCCCUGUGGUGUGUAGUGAG